rnacentral:tRNA from 1 species
CGGGGCGUGGCGCAGUCCGGCUAGCGCGCUUGGUUCGGGACCAAGAGGCCGGGGGUUCGAAUCCCCCCGCCCCGAC